AGGAUAACCCCUUUUUCACACUUCCUCCUCGCUCCUGCCAUUUGGAAGUAUUUUCCCUCCCCGAAUAGAAUCUUUUGAGAUCUGCGGCAGUUUUAGUGCCUACUAGCUGCUGGGGAAAAUGUGUGAAAGGGGAACAUAGGAAGACAGGAAACGGGAAGAGGGAAAGGGAGGAAAGGAGGACGCCUACUGUAGGAGACAUGCAGAAGGAGAUACUUAUUGCAUGGAAGCCAAUGAAGAAGGAUACAGAGAAAGGCAUCAGAACAAGAUGCUGCCUGAUACAUCAAGAUCAAAAUAUCCUUACAUUGUAUGUAUGUAUGUAUGUGUCAUGCCCGGCUCGUCCGCUCCUCGUGUGUGCCACGCCCCCUGCUUACCCACGUGUGCUUCCCCGAUUGUACCCAGCUGUGUCCGUUUACUUUCAAUCAGUCCUGUCUAUUUGAGUCCAUGUCUUACCAGAGUUCGGUGUCUGUCAUUGAUGUUUGUCGAUGCCUGUGGUCCGUUCUACCCUUGUCCUUUAAUAAAUCCCCAGUUUACCCCGUUUUGCACCUCCCAGCCUGUUCCUGCUCGCUCGCACUGCCUGAACGAUCACCCAUUCUGUACGGAUCGUGACAGUAUGUAUGUAUUUUUAGGGCGUUUGUUUUCACUGUGGAAAAUGCUGUAAAUUGAAUGAACUCUAAUUUUGGAGUGCCGGCUACAGUAGCUUUAGCAUCAUGGCAUGGUUUGCAGCACUGUUGCAUGCCUACCCCUUCUACAAUUAUGCAAUCUGUCUGAUCCUAAAAGGAUCUAUGCAUGAUAUUCAGCUUGGGAGUCAGUCUAAUGAAUCCAUUUUUAUUCAUAGGCAAGAGGGAAUCCUACUUUCCUCACUAAUUUCUGUGACCUUUAUGAACAGAAUAACACUCUGUUGUUCAACCAUAUGGCAAAAUAAUUGAAUCAAUUCCAUUGCUGUAACAAUGCAUAAUCUUUUUUUUUAACCGAGAUGAAUCUAGAAAUAAAAUAAAUCAUGAAAUGACAAACAAGCAAAAUGUACUACAUGCAGUCCAAGGAUGAACUCUAACAUCACAUUGAUUCAUAGAGCAACAUGUGAAAGUUUAAUUUGAUGUUGUUAAGGUAAGUGAUUAAUAAACAUACUAAAAAUAACAAGUAUAACCACAAUCCUGAAGUCUAUUUAUGUUGCAGCUAAUUACACUAAAACCAAACAAUAGCAGAAGAGUUAUUUGAUUUGCCCCAUUGAUCCAACGAGAUGCUUAAAACAAACAUCCAUGUAUGUAUUUUCUAAAUCCAUAAUUGAUGCCUGUUUCAAAUUAUAUUGACAUUUCCUUAAAGGAGACUUAAAGUUGCUGUGAGUUAAUUGCACGUAAAUGAAACGUUAUUUCAUUUGUUUGCGUUAAUCACAUGGAAGUCAAAGGGUUUACCCCUCUCCAAAGUUUGUAGCUUUAAUGCUUUGCUUCUCGUUAAUAUUAAUAUGUUCCUUUAUUAAGCAUGAGAGAUGAAUGCAAUCUCACUGGUAAAACACCUUUACUGUGUUUUGGUUUAUAAAAUUAGCAUUAAAUAUCAAGAAAUGUAUCACUGUUUGUCUCAGACCAUGACACAUAUUCAAGCUGACCACCCAGCUAUAUAUGUAUUUAUAACACAAGAAAAUAUGGGCACUAGGAGCAUGAGAAGUAACUUCUUGUUGCUUUGUUGAUUCUUAGUAUAUCUUAUAUGUUGAAGCAUGGU